rnacentral:rRNA from 1 species
GGCAGGCUUAACACAUGCAAGUUGAACGUGAUUUGUGGGGUGCUUGCACCGAGCAAUGAAAGUAGCGCACUGGUGAGUAACACGUGGGAACGUACCUUUUGGUGGGGGACAACAGUUGGAAACGACUGCUAAUACCGCAUAAGGCCCUGAGGGGGAAAGAUUAAUCGCCGAAAGAACGGCCCGCGGAAGAUUAGGUAGUUGGUGGGGUAACGGCCUACCAAGCCGACGAUCUAUAGCUGGUCUGAGAGGACGAUCAGCCACAUUGGAACUGAGACACGGUCCAAACUCCUACGGGAGGCAGCAGUGAGGAAUAUUGGGCAAUGGAGGCAACUCUGACCCAGCCAUGCCGCGUGAGUGAAGAAGGUUUUCGGAUUGUAAAGCUCUUUCGGGUGUGACGAUGAUGACGGUAGCACCUAAAGAAGCCCCGGCUAACUUCGUGCCAGCAGCCGCGGUAAUACGAAGGGGGCAAGCGUUGUUCGGAAUUACUGGGCGUAAAGGGAGUGUAGGCGGUUAUGUAAGAUAGUGGUGAAAUCCCAGAGCUUAACUUUGGAAUUGCCAUUAUGACUAUGUGGCUAGAAUUACAGAGAGGAUAGUGGAAUACCCAGUGUAGAGGUGAAAUUCGUAGAUAUUGGGUAGAACACCAGUGGCGAAGGCGACUAUCUGGCUGUAUAUUGACGCUGAGGCUCGAAAGCAUGGGGAUCAAACAGGAUUAGAUACCCUGGUAGUCCAUGCUGUAAACGAUGAGUGCUUGUUGUCGGUGUAAAAUCGGUGACGAAGUUAACGCGUUAAGCACUCCGCCUGGGGA